UACGUAGGUGGCAAGCGUUGUCCGGAAUUAUUGGGCGUAAAGCGCACGUAGGCGGCUUCUUAAGUCGGUGGUGAAAUCCUGGAGCUCAACUCCAGAACUGCCUUCGAUACUGGGAAGCUCGAGUCCGGGAGAGGUGAGUGGAACUGCGAGUGUAGAGGUGAAAUUCGUAGAUAUUCGCAAGAACACCAGUGGCGAAGGCGGCUCACUGGCCCGGUACUGACGCUGAGACGCGAAAGCGUGGGGAGCGAACAGG
rnacentral:rRNA from 1 species